rnacentral:rRNA from 1 species
UACGAAGGGGGCUAGCGUUGUUCGGAAUUACUGGGCGUAAAGCGUAUGCAGGCGGAUCGCUAAGUCAGGGGUGAAAUCCCGAGGCUCAACCUCGGAACUGCCUUUGAUACUGCCGAUCUUGAGUCCGGGAGAGGUGAGUGGAAUUGCGAGUGUAGAGGUGAAAUGCGUAGAUAUUCGGAAGAACACCAGUGGCGAAGGCGGCUCACUGGCUCGGUACUGACGCUGAGGUACGAAAGCGUGGGGAGCAAACAGG